rnacentral:sRNA from 1 species
ACAUCUUCUGGGUUUCUUGACAGUUUUUAAAUUUGAAAGAGCUAAAUUUAUACUUAUAAAAUGGAAAAAACUCAUGGGCUUGUAACCAUUGGAAAUACUUUUAGAACUUUUUUUCAAAAAUAAAAUAAGAAAAUUGGCUUUGUAGAAGACAAGGCACUCAAUUAAUGGCGGCCCAUAUUUUUUAAAUAGCCCAAGAGCACACUAUGCCAUUUUCGUUUUAGGUUCCGUCCAAAAACUAACAAUAUUUU